rnacentral:rRNA from 1 species
UACGAAGGGGGCUAGCGUUGCUCGGAAUUACUGGGCAUAAAGGGUGCGUAGGCGGCUUGUUAAGUCAGGGGUUGAAAGUUUUCGGCCCAACCGGAAAAUUGCCUUUGAUACUGGCGAGCUGGAGUGCGUGAGGGGUGACCGGAACGAGUGGUGUAGCGGUGAAAUGCGUAGAUAUCACUCGGAGCCAACGGCGAAGGCAGGUCACUGGUGCGCAACUGACGCUGAGGCACGAAAGCGUGGGGAGCAAACAGG